rnacentral:lncRNA from 1 species
UGGCUCUGUGCUCAAAUGUAGCAAUACGAAAGAUUUUAUUUAUUAUGUUACUAACUAAACCUUUUUUUUUUUGUCAACAUUGUUCAUUUCAUUGAACAGAAACCCAUAGAACAAACAUUACGAGUAUCGGGCUUAUCUACAUGGCCGAACAGAGAUAUAACAUAAUAAAUUAAACCAUUAAACCCAAUAUUGAAGAGGUGGGUGAUGUCUCAGAUUCUCGGUAAGCUUAAUUGCGACACGUGCAUUAACACAUGUUCUCCAUGCGAACACUAAUUACUCCGGCCGUCAAGAAAAACUUCACCACCGUAGACUCUUCCUCAACCGCCUUGUUCCUCUUUCUACUCCGUUGUUAUCAGCCCAUUUGUAACAACUCCUCCGUCUUUCGCUGUUCCUCCAUGAUUUAUUAUCUACCAUCUCUGGAUGUUAAAUCAAGGAUUGCUCGAUCAAAUCCAAGAGUAGACCCUUUAUUGGACCGUUCAAUGAACGCCAAUUUAUGCUGAAUCUCCUUUGAAUCGACCAAGAUUAGUCCAUCUUCUCUUCAUCCUUUCCUUAAAAGAGAGCUUCAUCCAAAGCCGAUCUCCGGCAAGCUUCUAGCUAGAUGAAGUCUGAUCUCUGCGGGAACGAAAUCAAAGCUUUCCUUUGAUGAAGAUAUUCAUCACGAGCAAACGAAAUUAAGAAUUAGAUCACGGAAGAGUAAAGAAACCGGAACAAAGCCCGAAUUUAUUUCUUUCAAUCGAUUUUCUGAGAAGAUAAGCUUUCAGUGUGCUCAGAAUCGAUUGAAACAUCACAUCAAAAUCGCCAACGCGAAGAGAGAUUCCGCUAACCGGAAAUUAAAAUCGCCAACGCGAAGAUCGAACAAAAAACAAAAAAAGUUUUGAUCUCAACCCCUGUGAAAGAUAAGGAUCAGUGAACAGUGGUUUGACCGUUUGAGAGAAAACUUUCCCUCUCUAGGAAAGAGAGAGUCUCUUUAUUAUUGGUCCGUUUUCACUUUAGAUGACAAAAACAAUUUUACCAAAAAAAAUAAAUACAAAAACAAAAUUAUAAAUCCCAAAAUUAUAAACGA